rnacentral:lncRNA from 1 species
CCUUCCUCAAUCUCUGGACUUUGCCGCUAUCAUCAACCUUGUAGAACUGAAGGACAGCAAGCUUGACCUUCUUCUUCUUGUGCUUGAUCUUCUUGGGCUUGGUGUAGGUCUUCUUCUUUCUCUUCUUGGCACCACCCCUCAACCGAAGAACCAAGUGGAGAGUGGACUCCUUCUGGAUGUUGUAGUCAGCGAGCGUGCGGCCAUCCUCGAGCUGUUUUCCAGCGAAAAUGAGACGCUGUUGGUCUGGUGGGAUGCCCUCCUUGUCUUGAAUCUUGGCUUUGACAUUGUCGAUCGUGUCUGAGGACUCAACCUCGAGGGUUAUUGUCUUACCCGU